GGGCUAUUAGCUCAGGUGGUUAGAGCGCACCCCUGAUAAGGGUGAGGUCCCUGGGUCGAGUCCAGGAUGGCCCA
rnacentral:tRNA from 1 species